CGCUGACGUUGGACAGGACACAGCUUUAACGGACACAGAAUGACCAGCUACAGCUCCGUUGUUUCCCAUCCUCCAUCCAAGUGCAAGUAAUUUAGAACAAGUUCUGUCCCCAUGCUCUGAGACGUACACAAAAUACAUUGGAUGACACAAUUCAUACGAGACGAGCACGUGUCCUCAAGU